GAGGAAUAUUGGUCAAUGGGUGCAAGCCUGAACCAGCCAUCCCGCGUGAAGGACGACUGCCCUAUGGGUUGUAAACUUCUUUUGUAUAGGGAUAAACCUACCCUCGUGAGGGUAGCUGAAGGUACUAUACGAAUAAGCACCGACUAACUCCGUGCCAGCAGCCGCGGUAAUACGGAGGGUGCAAGCGUUAUCCGGAUUUAUUGGGUUUAAAGGGUCCGUAGGCGGAUUGAUAAGUCAGGGGUGAAAUCCCACAGCUCAACUGUGGAACUGCCUUUGAUACUGUUAGUCUUGAGUAUAGUUGAAGUGGGCGGAAUGUGUCAUGUAGCGGUGAAAUGCUUAGAUAUGACACAGAACACCGAUCGCGAGGCAGUUCGCUAAGCUAUAACUGACGCUCAUGCACGAAAGCGUGGGGAUCAAACA
rnacentral:rRNA from 1 species